AUGGUGAAGGAGAAGGGGAAUGAGAAGGGAAAGGGUGCUGGUAAGGAGAAUGGGAAGCCGAAGGGUGCUGAAUACCGGAAGUUCCUUUUGAGAACAUUCGGGGUGUCAACGACAGAUGAAGAGAGUGCAGCAGCGGUCAUGACAACAACGUCACCUGGUGUGCCUGUCAUUGUGUUCCGUGGAGUAUCUGAUCUGGCUGGAGGGGGGGCCGCCAUGGUCAUCAGCAAGCCUGAUGAACCUGGCAUCAAUUAA
rnacentral:rRNA from 1 species